rnacentral:rRNA from 1 species
CAGCAGCCGCCGCGGUAAUACAGAGGAUGCAAGCGUUAUCCGGAAUGAUUGGGCGUAAAGCGUCUGUAGGUGGCUUUUCAAGUCCGCCGUCAAAUCCCAGGGCUCAACCCUGGGCAGGCGGUGGAAACUACCGAGCUGGAGUACGGUAGGGGCAGAGGGAAUUUCCAGUGGAGCGGUGAGAUGCGUUGAGAUCGAAAAGAACACCAACAGCGAAAGCACUCUGCUGGGACGACACUGACACUAAGAGACGAAAGCUAGGGGAGCAAACAGGAUUAGAUACCCCGGUAGUCCCUGUCUCUUAUAC